rnacentral:rRNA from 1 species
UUAAAUGAAGAAGGGCUUAUGUGGAAUAGCUUGGUACUUUAAGACGAAGAAGGGCGCAGUAACUGGCGAUACGCUUUGGGGAGCUAGAAACAAGUUGUGAUCCAAAGAUUCCCAAAUAGGGCAACCUGUUGACAUUUUUUGAAUGGUUAUAAGUAAAUGUUGUAAACCUGAUGAACUGAAACAUCUUAGUAGUCAGAGGAAAAGAAAGCAAUUGCGAUUCUCUUAUUAGCGGCGAGCUAACUGAGAACAGCCUAAACCCUUAAGGGUGUUGAGGGGUUUAUCAUAUAAGUAUCAUUAUGAAUUUUUGAAUUUGUUGAAUGCAAUACCAGAGAAGGUUGAAAGUCCUGUAAAAUAUUCAAUUUUUACUUAGAUAUUUUCCCAAGUAACGCAGAGCAUGUGGAAUUCUGUGUGAAUCUGCGAGAACCAUCUCGUAAGGCUAAAUACUUUUUAGUAACCGAUAGUGAACUAGUACCGUGAGGGAACGCUUAAAAGAAUCCUGGGAAGGAAGUGAAAUAGAUCUUGAAAGCAUAAGCUUACAAGCAGUAGGAGGUUUAUUUUAAGGAUUGACUAUGUGCCUGUUGAAGAAUGUGCCGGCGACUUAUGGGUAGUGGCUUGGUUAAGGAUUUUCAUCCGAAUCCAUAGCGAAAGCAAGUCUGAAUAAGGCGUUUGUCACUAUUCAUAGACCCGAACCCGGGUGAUCUAAUCUUGGUCAGGUUGAAGCUUGGGUAAAACUAAGUGGAGGACCGAACUCACCAAUGUUGAAAAAUUGGGAAAUGAACUGUGAUUAGGGGAGAAAUUCCAAUCGAACUCGGAGCUAGCUGGAUCUCUUCGAAAUGCGUUGAGGCGCAGCAAUCAAUUAUGGUCUGUUUAGGGGUAAAGCACUGUUUCAACGCGGGCUGCGAAAGCGGUACCAAGUUUGUGGCAAACUCUGAAUACUAAACAAUGAAUAUUCCAAUUGAUCAGUGAGACUGUGGGGGAUAAGCUUCAUAGUCAAAAGGGAAACAGCCCAGAUCACCAGUUAAGGCCCCUAAAUAUUUGCUAAGUGGUAAAGGAUGUAAAGGUACCUUGACAACCAGGAGGUUUGCUUAGAAGCAGCAAUCCUUUAAAAAGUGCGUAAUAGCUUACUGGUCAAGUGCAUUUGCGCCGAAAAUGAACGGGACUAAGCAAUUUGCCGAAGCUGUGGGAUUAAUUAUCGGUAGAAGAGCGUUCUGUUUUAGGUUGAAGCAGUAGUGAAAACAAUUGUGGAUUAAGCAGAAGUGAGAAUGUCGGCUUAAGUAACGAAAACAUUGGUGGAAAUCCAAUGCUCCGAAAACCUAAGGAUUCCUCCGCAAGGUUCGUCCACGGAGGGUUAGUCAGGAUCUAAAAUGAGGUCUAACGACGUAGUUGACGGAAAACAGGUUAAUAUUCCUGUACUAUAUUUGUUUAAUUACGCUAAAGAGACGGAGUAAAAAGCUAGGUUAGCCAGGUUUUGGGUAUUAUUUGGAUCAUUUGAUUAUUGAAUGAAUACUGGUGCUACGGUGCUACAAUUAACUGAGGCAUACUUCCAAGAAAAUCUUUAGUAUUAAUAUAUAAUAGCAAAUAUACCUGUACCUUAAACUGACACAGGUAGGUUAGUAGAGAAUACUAAGGAGCGCGAGAUAACUCUUUCUAAGGAACUCGGCAAAAUAACUCUGUAACUUCGGGAGAAAGAGUGCCUUGUUUUUAAUUUAAUAAGGUCGCAGUAACCAGGCCCAGGCGACUGUUUACCAAAAACACAGGUCUCCGCUAAGUCGAAAGACAAUGUAUGGGGGCUGACGCCUGCCCAGUGCCGGAAGGUUAAAGAAAUUGGUUAGCUUUUGCGAAGCUAGUGACUGAAGCCCUGGUGAACGGCAGCCGUAACUAUAACGGUUCUAAGGUAGCGAAAUUCCUUGUCAGGUAAGUUCUGACCCGCACGAAAGGCGUAACGAUCUGGGUACUGUCUCGGAAAGAGACUCGGUGAAAUAGAAUUGACUGUGAAGAUGCGGUCUACUUGCACUUGGACAGAAAGACCCUAUGAAGCUUUACUGUAAUUUGAAAUUGGUUUUGGGUUUCUCCUGCGCAGCAUAGGUGGAAGGCAUUGAUUCUCUCUUUCGGGAGACGAGGAGCCAUAAGUGAGAUACCACUCUGGAGGAAUUAGAAAUCUAAUUGUAUUUCUUUAAACAAGAUACUUGACAGUUUCAGAUGGGCAGUUUUACUGGGGCGGUAGCCUCCUAAAAAGUAACGGAGGCGUACAAAGGUUUUCUCAGGCUGGACGGAAAUUAGUUGCAGAGUGUAAAGGCAUAAGAAAGCUUAACUGUUAGACUUACAAGUCGAUCAGGGACGAAAGUCGGUCUUAGUGAUCCGACGGUUCUGAGUGGAAAGGCCGUCGCUCAACGGAUAAAAGUUACUCUAGGGAUAACAGGCUGAUCUCCCCCAAGAGUUCACAUCGACGGGGAGGUUUGGCACCUCGAUGUCGGCUCAUCGCAACCUGGGGCGGUAGUACGUCCCAAGGGUUGGGCUGUUCGCCCAUUAAAGCGGUACGUGAGCUGGGUUCAGAACGUCGAGAGACAGUUCGGUCCAUAUCCGGUGUAAGCGUUAGAGUAUUGAAAGGAUCUUUCCUUAGUACGAGAGGACCGGGAAAGACACACCACUGAUGUGCCAGUUCUUAUUCCCAUAGGAUAUGCUGGGUAGUCAAGUGUGGAUUGGAUAACUGCUGAAAGCAUAUAAGUAGGAAGCCUACCUUAAGAUGAGUGCUCUUUCUUUAAUUUGAUAAGAUCAUGAUUAGACUAAUCGUUUAUAGGUAUCAAGUGUAAGAUUGGUAACAAUUUCAGCUGAGAUAUACUAAUAGAUCGAAGAAUUUAUCCUA